rnacentral:lncRNA from 1 species
CUUUCAGACUCUGUAGUUUGAGACGUGGCAGCUACAAUGGAAAGAACCUGGGAAACUAAAGUGAGGAUCUGAGUCAAGUUUCUUAUUUUUUUGGCUGUGUUGCUUUGCUUUGGUGGCUUGGACAGGAUAAAACUUCACUGGCUGGACGUUACUCACUCCUGCACUACUGCAGCCAAGAGAUCAUGGACCCCUGACAAGAGCCAGCAGGAGGCCAGCUUCCCCGAUGUGAUGGACAAACUACUCUGAUGCCCUCCUCUGCUGCAGUACAAGUACCUGUCCUGGAUGAAUUACAACAAUCAGGCUUCUGAAUAUAUUGCUGAGAUCCUAAGAAAGUGAGUGAAAUCUCCAAGGACAAGAGAGAAAAACAAAACAAAAACAGUGAGGUGAAACUUUCAAAAACAUCAAGGCAAGUCUGCCUGGGCAAAUGGCAACGCUAAAGUAGGCUUUGUGGCCUAAACAUCCCUUCUCCAAACCUGCGUCUCCUAAAUGUGCCCAGAACCCUUCAACAGGAGAAGAGUGUCUCUGGUCAACACUGAGUCCUGGCUACUGGUCGAAGCAAAUCACUUGCAUCUACAUUUCACUCUGCUGCCUUUGCUUUGCCUCUCACAGCCUCUGGUUUGGCCUGCGACCCUUUUUUCUUUUUUUUUGGCCUUUUUAAAUGAAGAUGGGGAAAUACUCAUGCUGGGCCAGAAGGUUCUAUUUGUGUCUUUUAAACUCAGUCUUCAUUUGAAAAUCUUCUUCAUCUUUCAAAAUACAGUCAACUUUACCACUGAGAUCUCUGGAACUUUUUUCACUGAAGUAAAUCCAUGUUUUGGGGGUUUACUUUUGAAUGAAUUGAGCUCCAUGGAUAAUUAUUUUUCUUUUUCAUUAAAAAUCUUUUUUACUUACUUUGUUCACUUAACCUUGACAUACCUGAGAGUAUUGCUCAGCUUACAUGGGGGAGCACACCACGCAGGACUCUUGUUUACCAUGUAAACGGUUGUUUUAUGAAUAAAACCCCAAGGUUGCACAGCUAUUGAAAAUCAGAAAACUGUGACAAUAUUUCGUUGACUUCACUUCCAAAAACUGAACAAGUAUUUAUUGAGAAUUUAAGUGAAAUGGCAUGUUCCAAAAAACAGGAUAAUUCAUAGGAAAACUGAAAUAUUUAAUCAUUAAAAUUAUGUCUUUACAAACUAAAACAUCUGGAUGGCUGAUGUUAAUUUACAAUUUUAUUCUGAAUGUUUAGCACUGCAUAAAAAUAGCCACAUUUCAUAUUUAUGUUUUCUUUAUAUUUUCUGAAAAAGAAAGCCAUGUUAUAGGCUGUAAUUCAGUUUGUAUAAGCUCUUAUAAUCAACUUCUAUUUAACUGGCUUACUGGACUAAUCACAAGUUAGCUUUCCUGCUUCAAAUAUUAUGCCAGCUGUGGUGGCAAGCGAUCCCUGGUGUGUGCCUGCUCUUCUGUCCCACUCAAGUUGUAUGCCAAACAAGAAUAAGUCAUGUUUCUUCCCAAAGCCAUUCAUUCCAGUUGAAUUUAUUGUAUAAUUAAAAUAUAAUUUGAUUCAGUAUGAUGUAAACUGGAGAGCUCUCAGUGUAAAAAGCAAAUUGCUUCUCUGAAGAACUCAUUGACUACCUUGGAAAAGCUUAAUAAAAUCAAGCAUAAAAUUGUUGUUGAUUUGGUCCUGGGAAAGACAACUUAAAAAGAUAAGGAACAAAAUCAUAAAAAUCUAGGAAACUUUGCCUUCAAAAUGUAUUGCAGUGUUGUUAAGUUCCUACUUCACUUAUAAGAAAGCAGAACCGGGAGAUGCAAAUACUGCGUAUGCUUUUUCAAGAAUAUUGUCAAAAUAACCUUAAAAGAAUUUAGUCCAAUUUAAACUUCAACCAAUAGUAUGUAAAAAGGGGUAGUUUCUAUGAAUUCUCUCCAAUACUGAGCAUUUUGAUUUCCUCAUUAGCUUUGAUGAGAUACAGUGCCAUACUAUCUCCUUUAAACUUGAUUCUAAUGAUUUUGAGUAGUUUUAUAGCCCUAUUGUUCAUCUGCCUUGUGUCUGCGUGUGUGUGAAUUUGUGAGAGGUCUCUGUAUAUUAACUAUCAACUCUUUGUCAUAUUAUAAAUAUUUUCUAAAAAUUUCCACUGACC